AAGAAGAAGAAGUGAAGUUCCUGGAUCGAGAUGGCGUCUCGUCGCUACGGUUCUCUCUCUCUGUGUUCCCGAUAACGUGUGUGUGAGCUCCAGCACUACUGAUCCAUCAUCUGUGUGUCUGGAUAAACCUCCGAAUAGACUCUGUGUUAUUUUAUUCUGGAGCGUUUACCUCGGACUAUAGGAGCUAGCUUAGCAUGCUAGCUAGCUGGAAACACGUUAGCAACACUAGUCAGAUUGAGAGUUUUAUGGAGAGAGAAACGGUGUGUUUAACGGAGUUUGCAGGAAAAGGUGAUCUAGUAAACAUGAGUAAAGUCCAAAUGCACGUGGAGGAGCUGUCUCUUUCCAAAGAGGAGAACGAGAGACUCCAGAAACGACUGGACGCUGUUUUACAGCCUUAGCUUCGGAUACACAGAGCAGACAUCCCCAACCAUAGUGGAAUGCUGUUGUAAAGGAUUGCAUUGAUCCGUGCAUCAAUACCUUCACCCAGCUUUGAGGCCUCCAAUGAAUGAACAUCAUCUUGUGGCUGGGAAAAAUGUGAACAAAUAAAUCUCACAAAGAGUGA